UCCAGAGAUCUUGUUGUGUUAAGUUGCCUCUAAACUUCAAAAUACUCAAGUUUUGGGCAAAGAUAUUUACUCCUCGCUACUAUAGAUUCUGGUGUCAAAUCAUGCAAAUCACACCAACGGAAUUCAAAAUAAAACAAACCAACCAAUUGUAAAGCAAAAUGGAGAAGUAUCAAUCCAGCCCAUUGUCAUUAUGACCAAAUAAAGAGCAGCAACAAAGGAUAAUAUGAUUGUAACAAUAAGCAUUAUCGACAUGUAUCUCUUCAUGCGGUCUGCUAACCUGAGAAAAGGGAAUUAUUUUUAAAGAAAAAGUAUUUUUUUAAACAUGAAUGCGUCUCGCAUGGCAGGGUAACAACAGUGGUUUUAACACAGGCUCCUCGGAUGCUGGGGCAAGCGUUAUAACACUGGUGUACUGUUGUUUUGUGACAGAAUAUCAUACACAAACAAACAAUGCUUUUAUCUCAGUUAUGUUGCAAUUGUGGAAAAGAACUAGAAAGUGUAAAGCAGAGGCAUGAUUCCAAUCCAAGCAUAGAAUGAUCCAACAACCAUGGAAAACACAACAACAUUCACCCAAUAUGUACGUUUUC